rnacentral:rRNA from 1 species
CCUACGGGUGGCAGCAGUGAGGAAUAUUGGUCAAUGGGAGAGAUCCUGAACCAGCCAAGCCGCGUGAGGGAAGACGGCCCUAUGGGUUGUAAACCUCUUUUGUCGGAGAACAAAACCCGGGACGAGUCCCGGACUGCGUGUAUCCGAAGAAAAAGCAUCGGCUAACUCCGUGCCAGCAGCCGCGGUAAUACGGAGGAUGCGAGCGUUAUCCUGAUUUAUUGGGUUUAAAGGGUGCGUAGGCGGUCUGUUAAGUCAGCGGUAAAAUUUCGGGGCUCAACCCCGACAAGCCGUUGAAACUGGCUUGCUAGAGUGGGCGAGAAGUAUGCGGAAUGCGUGGUGUAGCGGUGAAAUGCAUAGAUAUCACGCAGAACUCCGAUUGCGAAGGCAGCAUACCGGCGCCCAACUGACGCUCAGGCACGAAAGCGUGGGUAUCGAACAGGAUUAGAUACCCUGGUAGUC